rnacentral:lncRNA from 1 species
UGCUACCAGUGUUUCUCAGAUGUUGCCACUGUGGUAUUAAUGUUUAAUGAAUGAGUAUGAUAUGAGGAUGUAAUGCUUAUAAUCAAUCACAAUGAGUAUUUCCACAAUCAAUCACAAUGAUAUAUUUCUACAACUAACCACAAUUAUACAUUUCCACAACCACGUGAGCCAAUAUUCACUCAUUAUUUUUGUUUCAUCCAUGAAUUUCCACAUGUCUCAUAUAACAAAGAAGUAUGAAUAUAUCACAAUACCAAUGGUACCAUAUUAGGCAUUUCAACAACACAAUAAAAUAAUUCACAUAUAUUCAAGGCUAUCAAUAUCAUAUAGGACCCCACUCGAUCGUACAAAUCAUAAAAUAUCUCAAUUUUAAUAAUUAUAUAUAUUAUAUAUAGGCCCCUACACGGUCACAACACAUUAAUAACCAUUUUUCAUGAUUAGUUCCCACCCUUAACAUGCAUUUUGUACCAUCAUUUACUACCCAACCCAAUCUGAAAGAGUUAUGCUAUAACCUACCUCAAAAUUCAAAAUUGGUUCGCUACACUUUGAACACACGACCUUACUUUUCACGAAUGACACCAACUCCACUCAAAACAUAAAAUAUAAAAUCUACUUGUCAUAAAAAAAAAACAACGAAAUCCAUAUUGACUACUUUUGGUUUGGGGUCAAAAAAGACCCCCAAAAUGGAUUUUCAAAAAAGAAGGCAAAAUUUUAACUUAUUUUAAAAAUGUGUUCCCCAUAUUUUUAGGAACGUACAGCUGAAAACUCAAGUCAAAUCGAAUCAAAAAUGAGGUUCAAGUUGAAGAAACUAUUUUUGAGCUUUACCGGGUAAAAUCUUUAAAAUCUAGGUUAAAAUCAAGAAUCGGAGUUGUUUUGGAGGUUAAAUUGAUGAAAAACUAGUAAUUAUAAGAAUAAAAUAUUAUUCAAGUGAAAAGGAGUAAAAAAUGGGUUUAAAAUCAAGCCUUAAGAUUAUUGGGGUUUUGAGAAAUCAAUCAAGAAAUUACUAAGAAAAGGAUGAAUUCUUACCUUAAAUCCGUAAGAAAGUCAAGAAAUAGAUGUUAAUCAUGCUUCCCAGGCUCCCACAAGGUUCACUUUUAAGCUCUUACACUAUUUUAGGGUUUAACUCUCAAGAGCCAAUGUGAAACAAUGGACAAUGGGCCAAAAUAAGGUAAAAAGCUGUUUUUUAUACUAUGCACCAGCUAAAAAAAAGUUUUUUUAGUUUGAUCCGGUCUUCGACGGGGUGCCCGAAAUUCAUUCGGAGUCUGAUGAACACAAAGUAACUAUGCACCCACACUAAAUUCGAUGUUUCAAAUGCGUUGGCGAAGUAGGAUUUUCAAAAUAAUAUCAUUUUCACAGAGUUGAUCCCUGAAAUCCGAAAUCAUAAUUUUUCAAACUGAGGAUCAAAAUGAGAUUUAAAAGCCAUAAAAUCACACAAACAUGUUACAACCCUAAAAUCAACAUUCUGGAUCUGCUGGUGAGUUCAUAUUUUCCAUCCAAAGCCGUUUCGAUCAAAUGUGAGUCCCACACCCAUAUUUUUAAUUUUUCAACUUUUCGACCGAUAGAAUGAAAUAAGCUUGGGUGUACCGAGACGCAAACCAAAAGUAUACCUAGCCUAAAAUAGAUAUUCUGGAGCUUCUGGCAUAGUUCAUUCAGUCAUCUAUUAUACGGAUCAAAAGAUAUACACAUAAGUCCAAAAUAAGGCUUUGAAGCCAUCAAAAACCACAAUAUCGCAUAAAUGGUACCAAAAUACAUCGGAAAUCAUGCCAAUCAACUCCACACCCUAGAAAUAUCAUAAUGCAACUAUGGAGAAGGGUAAAACAGUCAAAUUACAUAGAAACACACAAUUCACAUAUUUUAUCAAAAACCUGAUCGUUACAUUUACCUUCUUAGGGCAGGGAUAAGUAUUCAUCCUUUUGUGCCGUAAGAUUCCCUUCUUCAUGAAAAAUUCUUUAAAAACCUACUAUAUCUCCAGUCUUAAGGUAGACAAACUCUAUCUCUUUGCACCUUAAGUUGGCUUUUAACGAAUUUAUCCCUAAAGGAAUCGCUAAGUUUUCAUGCCAUGAGACGAAUAAUUUUAAUCUCUUUGCCCAAGUCUUUAGCUCAGAUGAUGUAAAGUCUUUACAUCAAGCAACAUAUAAUAUCUUUAACUCAGACAGUGUAAAAGUCUUUGUGGCGGUCUAUGUAGAGUCUUUGUCUUAGACGCUGUAAUAUCUUCUCCUCAAUAAUAUACAAGGUCUUUGACUCAGACGAUGCAACGCAUGUGACUCAAACAAUAUAAAUUCUUCAUCAUAUUCACCUACAAAAAGGGAGAGAAAAAUACAAUAAUAAAAAAAAUCACAAGUGAUUGUUACUUUUCAGAACAUUUAAAAAUUGGAAGCCAUACAUCACCAACUCGGAUAGGCUUGAGAUAAGAUAUUUGAAUGAGAAUGAAACCUUUGAACUCCAUUUUUAUCAAUAAAAAUGCAUUUUUAUGAUGAUGUUUUCACAUAAAGAUAUUAAUUAUUUGGUGAGGCGAGGAAAAUCUAGAAUUCUUUGUUGGACAGGAUCUAUAGUCAAGUUUAAAAAAUUGUCUAGAAUGAUUCUGGAGGUGUAAAAUUACAAAGUUUGGAUAUUUGAUAGAUGUAUGUGUCUUUAUUCUGUAGAAUCGAGCAGAUUAUGAUUUUGGUAUUCCUACAUUGAGAUACAAAUUUUUAGGUAUCGUCGCACAAAUUUGAAAAUCUGCUAGUGCGCCAAAAUUCAAAAUCGAUUUUGAGAUAACAUCUUAAAAGAUCCCGAAUGUAUUACUAAAUUAUAAAUUUAGAUAUGUUAUAGUUCUUUGUAUCUAGUUUUGAAAGAAUCAAGUGGCUUAAGAUUUCGUCAUUCCUACGUCAAGAUAUACAAGUUUUGAUAAAGCCGCCUAGAUGUAAAAAUUUCAGCAUGGAAAAAUAUAAACCUAAACUUCAAAAGUUGUAUUGCAAAAAAUUGAAGGAGUUUAAUUAUGAAUUUUAUAUAUGUUGUAGAUCAAGAAAUCUGAUUUUUCAAAAAUUAAAUCAUUUAUAAUUUUGAUAUUUCUACAAUUUGAUAUGAAUUUUUUACCACAGACAUACUGAGCUAUUAAAUAUUGACAAAAAAAAAAAAAAAAUUACCUUGCAUUUUGCUCCCUUGUGUGACUCGCUAUGGUUAAAUGUCAAAAUAAUAGAGAGCCUCCAUGUAUUUAUAGAUCUGACAAGGUGGUAAUAGUCUCCUUGUCGAAAUAAAAUUGGGAGAAGUUUUCGAGUCCUUGAGGAGGUAUAUUCCUAAUUGGAUGGAAAUUGAAGAAAAAACAACCUAAUCUUAAUUGGAAACUACAAGCUACAAAAGGUGAUGAAAUCCCAAACGAGAUACAAAUCUGAAAGAAAAAAAAAGAGAGAAAGGAUGAAUUGCAACAAGCUACAUGCGUAAUUCUAUCCUAGCGUGAGUAACACAAGGAAAAAGAAAAGUUGUAGGCAUUGUAACAAAAAGUCAAUCCCUUUUUUCUUUCAUAAUACUCAUGUGAACCAAGAAAAAAAAUUCUCCGAAUAAGAGGACAGAUUUAAUCUUAAGUCUAAUAUGUUCUCAUUUGGUAUCACAUAAAUCGAUUCAUAAUAUCUUUCUUUGUACAUAAACGCUAUUGCAAUCAAAGCAGC